CUGCUGGAACUGUCAAGGUCUCGGCAUAGACCUUACAGUUCGACGCCU
rnacentral:sRNA from 1 species